CAUGUCUCAGUAUAAGCAGUCAAAUGGUGAAACUGCGAAUGGCUCAUUAAAGCAGUUAUAGUUUAUUUGAUGGUUGCUGCUACAUGGAUAACUGUGGUAAUUCUAGAGCUAAUACAUGCAUCCAAGCCCGACUUUGCAGAAGGGUUGUGUUUAUUAGAUCCAGAACCAACCCAGGCUCCGCCUGGUCAUGUGGUGAUUCAUGAUAACUUGACGAAUCGUGCGGCCUUGCCGACGAUGCGUCAUUCAAGUUUCUGACCUAUCAGCUUCCGACGGUAGGGUAUUGGCCUACCGU
rnacentral:rRNA from 2 species